AGUGAACGCUGGCGGUAGGCCUAACACAUGCAAGUCGAACGGCAGCACAGUAAGAGCUUGCUCUUACGGGUGGCGAGUGGCGGACGGGUGAGGAAUACAUCGGAAUCUACUUUUUCGUGGGGGAUAACGUAGGGAAACUUACGCUAAUACCGCAUAUGACCUACGGGUGAAAGCAGGGGAUCUUCGGACCUUGCGCGAUUGAAUGAGCCGAUGUCGGAUUAGCUAGUUGGCGGGGUAAAGGCCCACCAAGGCGACGAUCCGUAGCUGGUCUGAGAGGAUGAUCAGCCACACUGGGACUGAGACACGGUCCAGACUCCUACGGGAGGCAGCAGUGGGGAAUAUUGGACAAUGGGCGCAAGCCUGAUCCAGCCAUACCGCGUGGGUGAAGAAGGCCUUCGGGUUGUAAAGCCCUUUUGUUGGGAAAGAAAAGCAGCAGGUUAAUACCCCGCUGUUCUGACGGUACCCAAAGAAUAAGCACCGGCUAACUUCGUG
rnacentral:rRNA from 1 species